rnacentral:rRNA from 1 species
GGGCCCGCACAAGCGGUGGAGCAUGUGGUUUAAUUCGAUGAUACGCGAGGAACCUUACCAGGGCUUAAAUGUAGUGGGACAGGUCUAGAGAUAGACCCUUCUUCGGACUCAUUACAAGGUGCUGCAUGGUUGUCGUCAGCUCGUGCCGUGAGGUGUCAGGUUAAGUCCUAUAACGAGCGCAACCCCUAUCGUUAGUUGCCAGCGGGUAAUGUUGGGCACUCUAGCGAGACUGCCGGUGCAAACCGCGAGGAAGGUGGGGAUGACGUCAAAUCAUCACGGCCCUUACGUCCUGGGCUACACACGUGCUACAAUGGUCGGUACAGAGAGCAGCCACUACGCGAGUAGGAGCGAAUCUAUAAAACCGAUCUCAGUUCGGAUCGCAGUCUGCAACUCGACUGCGUGAAGCUGGAAUCGCUAGUAAUCG